UUAUGGAUGGAGGUGGUAGCUUUGGUUUGUAAGUCAGUUGGCAUGAUUCCGUUCGACUAGGGUAUAAUUUGCAUGUAGUAGCGAAACUGUCAUUCAAGACUCUUGGGAUAUGAUGAUCAGCGAAAACUCGAUUGGUUGGAUGUGAUGGAUCGAAGACCGCUAUUUAGUCAGACUGAGCUAAACAUUUGAGCAUUCCAAUGACUCUUCAGCCUAACCUAUCGGUGGUCUCAGAGGAAUGUUAUCAAGCACCAGUUGGUGGGUCUUCAUCUACUCAGGCUGUAGCGCAUUGACGGGG
rnacentral:lncRNA from 1 species